UACGGAGGGUGCGAGCGUUAAUCGGAAUCACUGGGCGUAAAGCGCACGUAGGCGGCUUGGUAAGUCACAUGUGAAAGCCCUCGGCUCAACCGGGGAACUGCGUGUGAUACUGCCUUGCUUGAGUCCUGGAGAGGGUGGCGGAAUUCCCGGUGUAGGAGUGAAAUCCGUAGAUAUCGGGAGGAACACCAGUGGCGAAGGCAGCUCACAAAACUAGUACUGACGCUGAGGCACGAAAGCGUGGGGAUCAAAC
rnacentral:rRNA from 1 species